AUACCCGCAGCCCGAGUGGUGGCCACUUUUAUUGGGCCUAAAGCGUCCGUAGCCGGCCCGGUAAAUGCCUGGGUGAAUCGUGGGGCCCAACCUCACGAAUUCCGGGCAGACUGCCGGGCUAGGGACCGGAGGAGGGAGAGGGUACUCCAGGGGUAGGGGUGAAAUCCUGUAAUCCCUGGAGGACCACCGGUGGCGAAGGCGCUCUCCUAGGACGGGUCCGACGGUGAGGGACGAAAGCCAGGGGAGCGAACCGGAUUAGAAACCCUAGUAGUCC
rnacentral:rRNA from 1 species